GGUAAUGAUGAUUCCAGGUGAUUCUGAGCGAGUCGCUGAUGCCAUCACCGCAGCGCGCUGACA
ensembl:snoRNA